rnacentral:rRNA from 1 species
CAGCAGCCACGGGAAUACAGAGGGUGCGAGCGUUAAUCGGAUUUACUGGGCGUAAAGCGUGCGUAGGCGGCUUCUUAAGUCGUAUGUGAAAUCCCUGAGCUUAACUUAGGAAUUGCAUUCGAUACUGGGAAGCUAGAGUAUGGGAGAGGAUGGUAGAAUUCCAGGUGUAGCGGUGAAAUGCGUAGAGAUUUGGAGGAACACCGAUGGCGAAGGCAGCCAUCUGGCCUAAUACUGACGCUGAGGUACGAAAGCAUGGGGAGCAAACAGGAUUAGAUACCCGAGUAGUCCCUGUCUCUUAUAC